CCUACGGGAGGCAGCAGUGGGGAAUAUUGCACAAUGGGGGAAACCCUGAUGCAGCGACGCCGCGUGAGCGAAGAAGUAUCUCGGUAUGUAAAGCUCUAUCAGCAGGGAAGAAAAUGACAGUACCUGACUAAGAAGCCCCGGCUAACUACGUGCCAGCAGCCGCGGUAAUACGUAGGGGGCAAGCGUUAUCCGGAUUUACUGGGCGUAAAGGGAGCGUAGGCGGCGCGGCAAGUCUGAAGUGAAAUGCCGGGGCUUAACCCCGGGACUGCAUUGGAAACUGUGGAGCUAGAGUGCAGGAGAGGUAAGCGGAAUUCCUAGUGUAGCGGUGAAAUGCGUAGAUAUUAGGAGGAACACCAGUGGCGAAGGCGGCUUACUGGACGGUAACUGACGUUGAGGCUCGAAAGCGUGGGGAGCAAACAGGAUUAGAUACCCGUGUAGUC
rnacentral:rRNA from 1 species